rnacentral:rRNA from 1 species
CCUACGGGGGGCUGCAGUGGGGAAUCUUCCGCAAUGGACGAAAGUCUGACGGAGCAACGCCGCGUGAGUGAUGACGGCCUUCGGGUUGUAAAGCUCUGUGAUCGGGGACGAAUGGCUGGUGCGUUAAUACCGCAUCAGAGUGACGGUACCCGAAUAGCAAGCCACGGCUAACUACGUGCCAGCAGCCGCGGUAAUACGUAGGUGGCAAGCGUUGUCCGGAAUUAUUGGGCGUAAAGCGCGCGCAGGCGGCUUCUUAAGUCCAUCUUAAAAGUGCGGGGCUUAACCCCGUGAUGGGAUGGAAACUGGGAGGCUGGAGUAUCGGAGAGGAAAGUGGAAUUCCUAGUGUAGCGGUGAAAUGCGUAGAGAUUAGGAAGAACACCGGUGGCGAAGGCGACUUUCUGGACGACAACUGACGCUGAGGCGCGAAAGCGUGGGGAGCAAACAGGAUUAGAUACCCGUGUAGUC